rnacentral:rRNA from 1 species
AAUAGAUACCCGGGUAGUCCACACCGUAAACGAUGAGCGCUAGGUGUUGGGGUCGAACCUCAGUGCCGCAGCUAACGCAUUAAGCGCUCCGCCUGGGGAGUACGCACGCAAGUGUGAAACUCAAAGGAAUUGACGGGGACCCGCACAAGCAGCGGAGCAUGUGGUUUAAUUCGAAGCAACGCGAAGAACCUUACCUGGGCUUGACAUCCCUCUGACCGCUCCUUAACCGGAGCCUUCCCUUCGGGGACAGAGGUGACAGGUGGUGCAUGGUUGUCGUCAGCUCGUGUCGUGAGAUGUUGGGUUAAGUCCCGCAACGAGCGCAACCCUCGUCUUUAGUUGCCAGCAGUUCGGCUGGGCACUCUAGAGAGACUGCCGGGGAUAACUCGGAGGAAGGUGGGGAUGACGUCAAAUCAUCAUGCCCCUUAUGUUCAGGGCUACACACGUGCUACAAUGGCCAAUACAAAGGGUUGCCAAGGAGUAAUCUGGAGCUAAUCCCAUAAAGUUGGUCCCAGUCCGGAUUGUGGGCUGAAACUG